UCAGACUUACCAGAAAUACUGUAGGCUACGGUUAGCAGACACCUCGGUCGACCUCAGCGGCAGGUUCAGCUUUGAAUGUCGGCGUGUGAUUGGUUGACUGCGAUCGGCGAAUCCUACGUUUCUAAUUGGUUGUCUACACUCUAACGGAAGUCCAAUCAGAACACGUAAUGCGCGACUGGACGUAACUAGACGUAACUAGACGUAGACGUAGACUGAUUUGUUUUUAUUUAAAAUCCAUAACAACAGACCAUAGUUGUCUAAGCUACGGUGAAACAGACUUCCUUCUACAAAAUCUUUUGCAGAGUUUCAAUACGUCAGUAUACAAACGAUUCAUCGAGAAAAUGCUUAGAUCCAAUUCUGGACCAAAAUCAUUUGAAAGACCUAGGCCUUCAGGAGGUGCGUACUCUUCUUCGAAGAAGUCCAAACAAAGGUGUGAGAGACCUUUGUAUCCUGAAGACCUCAACCCUCCCACCAUCUUGAGGGAGCACGGACGAAGGGGUGAGAGACCUUUGUCUAGUGGAGGCACCAACCCUUCUGCCACCAUGAA